rnacentral:lncRNA from 1 species
UAAUCUUACGUGUGUACGACAGUUUUAUCCGAUUCCCGACGCCAUAACUCCCACCGGACCAUCCGGUGUUCACCAGCCAUCCGGUAGCACCGUGUCUCUCCAUUUUCUCCGCCAGCAUCGCCGCGUAUCGAGUGGGAUGCAGCAUUAUAAAAGCCGCCCCGAAACAAGCUGAAAACGUCGCCUGUGGCUCUUUGAUCCCAUCUUCUGUUCCGGCGACCAACGCGGUGUAGCCUGAUAUGAAGUGGUACAUCGUCUGCGGCAUGGUCAGCUUCGACACCGGUGGCAGCACCCCGAAGGCGUCGCAGGCGAGGAGGAUUAUGUUGUUCGGGUGUGGGCCGAUGCAAGGUAGCUUCGCGUUUGGGAUGUAGUGUAUAGGAUAAGCUGCACGUGUAUUCUCGGUAACGGAGCUAUCGGCGAAAUCGACUUCUCGGGUGUGCUCGUCGAAGACGACGUUCUCCAGCACCGUCCCGAACUUGAUCGCGUUCCAGAUGUCGGGUUCUUUCUCUUGGGAGAGUUGGAUACAUUUCGCGUAGCAACCGCCUUCUAUGUUCGAUAUUCCGGUCUCGCUCCAGCAGUGCUCGUCGUCUCCGAUCAGAAGUCUGUUGUGAUCGGUGGAGAGUGUUGUCUUUCCGGUACCGGAGAGUCCGAAGAAAAGCGCGACGUCAGUAGGAGCACCAGAUUCGCUCCGACCCAUGUUCGAUCCGGAGUGAAG